ACAUGCAAGUCGAACGAGAAGAGAUGAGAAGCUUGCUAUCAUUGAAGCUAGUGGCAAACGGGUGAGUAACGCGUAGGCAACCUGCCCAUGAGAUGGGGACAACAUUCCGAAAGGGAUGCUAAUACCGAAUGAUGUUACGGAGUCGCAUGACUUGUAACCAAAGGCUGAGCAGUCGGUCACUCAUGGAUGGGCCUGCGUCUGAUUAGCUAGUUGGUGGGGUAACGGCUCACCAAGGCGACGAUCAGUAGCCGGUCUGAGAGGAUGAACGGCCACAUUGGGACUGAGACACGGUCCAAACUCCUACGGGAGGCAGCAGUGAGGAAUAUUGGUCAAUGGGCGAGAGCCUGAACCAGCCAAGUAGCGUGCAGGACGACGGCCCUAUGGGUUGUAAACUGCUUUUAUAAGGGAAUAAAGUGAGUCUCGUGAGACUUUUUGCAUGUACCUUAUGAAUAAGGACCGGCUAAUUCCGUG
rnacentral:rRNA from 1 species